CGCGCCCGGGGGCCCGAGCCGCAACCAGAGCGGCGGGCAGGACGCCCUCCUCGUGCUCGACCCCCGCCCCGGCGCCCGCUUCGGCCACCCCCUCCUCCUCUUCUACGUCGACUUCAACAUCAGCCCGCGCCGCUGCCGGAGCCGGGACCGCCUCUACCUGGGCAGUUACGAGUGUUUGACUCUUGCCCAGAGGAGCCACUGCGAGAACCAACUGAAGCGAAGGCCAGGGCGUGGCAAAGGACGGAGCCAGUGGCCAACAGGCCGUGUUCGCCGAGAGGAGCCCCCAGUUGGACUUUGUGAAAUCCACUUUCUGCCCAUGGCAGUCACAGUGCAGGACCCAAAACAUCUGCAAAAAUUGCACUGUGUGGAUCUCCGUGGAUACAGUCCGUGCCCACAGCCUCUGCCCCUUGUUGGCUCUGGUUCCACAGCAGCUUAUUGUGAGCUCAACAAGAAUACCCGCCGGUGCCAUCGCCAGCAGCUUCCGAUGUACAAGUCAUGCCGCCUGUAUCAGACAUGUGAUCACGCUGUGCUGAUUGCAGGUGGCUGGCAGGAGCAGGUCACUUACCCCCACCAUGCUCAGAACCUGCUGCUCUUCUACCAGAUGCUUCGACAAAAUGGCUUCCACCAGGAUCAUAUCAAGGCCUUCUUUGCAAAUGAAGGGCAAGGCUCAGUGGCUGUGGAGAUGGGUGAUGUGCAUCCAGCCACGGAGAAGCUGGCAAUCCGCUCCCACCUAGCCUUGCUGUGCCGGAGCCUGCAUUGUGCCGAUUCAUUGGUGCUCUACCUCAAUAGUCCGGCGGCCAGUGAUGGCACCAUGCUGCUGUGGGAUGCUAACCAUAAUGGCAUUGCUGAUCCAAAGGAGCGUUACCCCAUCUCAGAGCUCUUAGCUGACCUGGAAAACUGCAAUGCCCGCCGAGUCCUCCUCUUCCUGGACCAGAGCUAUCCAGGGCCAUUGGCAAAGAAGCUGCGGGCCUCACGCCACCAUCCCAACGUGGUGCUGGUCCAUAGCACCACCAGUACCACCACUGGUGGGUCAGCUUUUGCUGAGUUCUGGGCAGGGCUGCAGCCUGACCAAUGUCUGCUCCAGUAUAUCUCGCCGGUGGGCCCAUGGUCUGCAGUCUUGGCUUCUGGUGUCCCAGCCCAACUUCUCAACGUCACUUUAGCAGGAGCACCCUGCCGUUCUGUGCCACCCCUGGGUGAGGCGGAGCGCCAACGUCGCUACGAGGGCUGUCAGAAUCUUCCUACCAUGUUAUGGUAUCAGAGCAGGCACCAGCAGCUGCCCCAGGAGGACGACUGAGCCUGGCAGAGUACAAGUCACGGCCUGUCCUCAAGAUCAGGACUGUACUGUAAGCCAUGGACCUUCCCCCAACCCACCCCCCAAGGAGGUUCUUGACUUCAUGGGACACUGGAGGAGUUAACUGAUCUGGAACAGCUUCCCAGCGAGUUGGUGUGGAACUGCUUUAGGACAUGGCUGGGAUAGGCUGAAGCAUUCUUAAUGAACUGGUAAGCAGGCCUGUCAAAGCUGGCCAGAGCCAGGGGAAGCCAAGUGUGGUGAAGUUUGAUUUUACAUGCUGCCACCCAUAUAUAUAUAUGGCUAUAGAGAAAAAUGCUUGAGUCACACACUGGGUGAAUCCAGCACCCAUCACCAGCUAGAAUUUGGCUGUGUGCAGAAUAACAGGGUGGCAAUCAAGGCUAAGGUGCAAGGUGUUGCUAAGGUAGUAUGGACUGUGUAAAUUGGCCCUGCACCCGCCCUCAUGGCUGGACUAUACUGCUGGUAGAUACUCAGCAAUGUGUGCCCCUAGAAAGGCAGAGCUGGGUAUCACUCACUCCCCCCACCGCCCCGGUCAGUGGCUAACAAAAUUCCAAAGUUGCCCUUUGUUGAGAGAGAAAAUGAAUAAAGGCCAUUGCUUUUGGGUUCCUCCUCCUGUU
rnacentral:lncRNA from 1 species